rnacentral:rRNA from 1 species
UACAGAGGUCUCAAGCGUUGUUCGGAUUCAUUGGGCGUAAAGGGCGCGUAGGCGGCGGGGUAAGUCGGGUGUGAAAUCUCAGAGCUCAACUCUGAAAUGGCACUUGAUACUGCUCUGCUAGAGGACUGGAGAGGAGAUUGGAAUUCACGGUGUAGCAGUGAAAUGCGUAGAUAUCGUGAGGAAGACCGGUGGCGAAGGCGGAUCUCUGGACAGUUCCGUGACGCUGAGGCGCGAAGGCCAGGGGAGCAAACGGG